rnacentral:rRNA from 1 species
UGAGUGGACUCCUACGGGAGGCAGCAGUGGGGAAUAUUGCACAAUGGGCGCAAGCCUGAUGCAGCGACGCCGCGUGAGGGAUGACGGCCUUCGGGUUGUAAACCUCUGUUAGCAGGGAAGAAGAGAGAUUGACGGUACCUGCAGAGAAAGCGCCGGCUACCUACGUGCCAGCAGCCGCGGUAAUACGUAGGGCGCGAGCGUUGUCCGGAAUUAUUGGGCGUAAAGAGCUUGUAGGCGGGUUGUCGCGUCGGCUGGAAAAGGCCGGGGCUUAACCCCGUGUAUUGCAGUGGGUACGGGCAGACUAGAGUGCAGUAGGGGAGACUGGAAUUCCUGGUGUAGCGGUGGAAUGCGCAGAUAUCAGGAGGAACACCGAUGGCGAAGGCAGGUCUCUGGGCUGUAACUGACGCUGAGAAGCGAAAGCAUGGGGAGCGAACAGGAUUAGAAACCCGAGUAGUCC